GCGGUCCCCAGACCAGCAACAUCAGCAUCCCUGGGAGCAUCAGAAAUGCAGAGCUCAGGCCCGCCCCGGAGCUACCGAAUCAGAACCUCCAUUUUACACACCCCUCAGCUCAGAGCUUGUUUCUCCCUGGAUUCCAUGGCCCUGUGCUGCUGGCAGCCCGGGGUUAGGGCAUUUCGUUGUCACCUGGCGACGGUGAAGCCUGGUUUCCUCCAGAGAGAUUAUGCUGCUCUCCAUCCAAGUGAAGUGGCAAUGGUGCCAGCCUGAGAUUUCUGCCCUGAGUUUUAAGUACGAGAGUGUGGGCUGACAAUAAACUCCUUUAUUCUACCCUCUUCUGUUCUCAUAAGGAGAAAUUUAAAUUCUGGAAGAGAUGAAGCUUGCAUUUACCCAGGCCUGUUAAUGAAGAAUGUUGGACUAAAUUUUGAGAAUUCAGACUGCUUAAGAAAUUUGCUUCAGAAUCCCCAAAGGAUUCUGCAAGGAGCUAGAAAGAACAUUUUCUAACAUCAGUUACUUGUUUUAAUAAACUCCUUCGGGGUAAGAUUUUGAUUCCCACCACUGAUCAUAUCAUUAAAAAGUGUAUUCUCUGCACUAA